rnacentral:tRNA from 1 species
GAGGGAAUAACUCAGUAUUAGAGUGCAUUCUUAGCAUGCAUGAGGUCCUGGGUUCAGUUCCCAGUACCUCCA